AAAGAGUGUGGAGACACUAGCCAUCUCAAAUGGCUGUGUUUUCUUUACAUUACUAUCAUUUCCUUUUAUCAAUAAAGAGUAUUCAUUUUCCUUAUUAUUUCAGCUAGCAUUCAGUGAUUUAUUUACUGCAACCCAUUAAUCUACCACAAGUCCUUAUUCUAACUUCUUGGAUCCUAACAAUUGGUAUCAAAGCAUCAAUUCCAUUAAUGACUAUCCUCCAGCUUUCAAUAAAGGGGGAAUCUUAGGAGUGCUUUUUGUUACUCCCCUUGCUAAGUCUUCCAAGCAAAGUAUUGCAAAGGCUAUACCAAGCUCCAAACUUGGUGAUUUUGGCUUUCUAAGAUUAAUCCUGCUCUCAAAGUAUUAGAUUGUCAGCAGUGUAUAAUCCACCUUUUUUCUUGUCUCGGAUUUUUCCAAAGGGUUCUCCAUUAGCUAUUGAUAUAUCAGAAGCUAUUCUUAAAGUCACACAGAAUGGAGAAGUUAACCAACUGGAAAAACACAUGCUUUCCUUUUCAAAUUGCUAGACUUUGUUUACUCCGGUAGCGGAUAAUGUUGGAAGCUUAGGUCUGGACCCCUCUCUGGUUUUUGUUUCAAGAUUUCAGGUUUCAUCUCUUCAAUUGCAUUUCUAUUAGCAGUUGCUCGUUUACUGCAAAGACAGUGAUCAAUUCUUGAUUUAUUACAGAAAUUAUUGACAAUGACAAGAGAUUUAAGAUGAACUGCAUUAGUUCUUUCUGAAUGCUACACAAGACAUGGUUUAAGAUUCUUCAGGGAAACCAUCUUUCCAAGACAAAAUCACCAGUACAAGUCUUCAAGACAGUAGGAUUUUUUCCGAAUUCCAUCUUUCAGGUGGGCAAAUGGGCAAGUUGUGCUUAUUUUCCUUUAUUUUUUGGGAUAUCUUAUUUCAAAAAUUUAGCAGCUACUUUGUUCAUAGUUGGAGGUUGAAUUGAGUAAAGUUGUUUCUGCUUCAAAUUAUUGGUAUUCAUGUAAAUUAACAUGCGUUUGAUUUAUGUAAUUUCAGUAUCCAUAUCCUUGUUGCGUCA